UACGGAGGGUGCAAGCGUUAAUCGGAAUGACUGGGCGUAAAGGGCGCGUAGGCGGCGAUCACAGUCAGAUGUGAAAUUCCUGGGCUCAACCUGGGGGCUGCAUUUGAUACGUGGUGGCUUGAGUGGGGAAGAGGGUCGUGGAAUUCCCAGUGGUAGAGGUGAAAUUCGUAGAUAUUGGGAAGAACACCGGUGGCGAAGGCGGCGACCUGGUCCUUGACUGACGCUGAGGCGCGAAAGCGUGGGGAGCAAACAGG
rnacentral:rRNA from 1 species